UCUUCCGAUCUCAUAUUUCAUAUAUUUUGUAAGUUUAUAACCAAAUAAGAGAAAACUACUUGAGUUUUUUUUUAUUUUAAAGAUUGAAUUUGUUCCCCUUCUUGUCAAUUAAUCAAACAAUAGUAGAGAUUUUUGUGCUCUGAUAAUUUUGUGUAGAUUAAAGAAGGUGCCAGAUUGUUAGUGUCUGGAAAAUUGAGGUUCAAUCUGUAUAACAAUUGUGAAAUAGCAACUCUAGCCCCCCUAGAUCUAAAUAUUAACUUGUUUGUUCACAUAGAAAAUAUUUAUAUUUUUAAAUGGAAAUUUAGAAUUUAUACAUGAAUGUUGAAAUGUUUGUCUAAAAAUACUAUAUUAUAAUCUGUAGUAACAAAAGUAAUAAUAAAGUUUAAAAUGUUUUCUAUUUGAAUAAUACAAUAUAGUAAAUCCUUGUUUAACAUAAGGGACAGAUUAAUAAGUUGGAAUCAUAUAACAUUAGUUGUAGAAAAUCGGUAAUUAUAAAUUAUAGUGCAAUAGGGCUGAUUUAUCAUCACAAAAGUGCUUAGACUUUCCAGAGGAGUUGGGAUUGAAUUAAGAGCCCAUUUCUUGGAAAAUUUAUGGGGGAUCCAGCCCUACCUUGUCUAUUUCCUCUACUGUCCAGUUGGCAUUCAUGAAUAUAGGUGAAAUAUAAUAGGAUCUGAAAUGCAAUAUAAUUAGUGAAAUAUAAUAGGAUCUGAAAUGCAAUAUAAUUAGUGAAAGAUUGAGAACUAACAUAAAGAAAAAAAAAUAAUCAUAGACAUAAUAUUAUGAAUUCUAAAGUGUCUUUUUAUUAUAAAACAUUUUCUUUCUUGUUAAUCAUGACAUAUAACAGAUAUUUAACAUUUUUCAAUUGAAAAUUAAAACCAUACUUUUCAUUCAUGCUAUUUCAUUAUUAAACAAUAUGCUAAUGAUUAUAUGGUAAAAAUUAUCAAAUAGCAUCUCUUCUAAUACCAGAAAGAAAGCAUUCUAGAACUAUAACUAGGACUAGACCUAUGGGAUUUCUGGUUUCAGUUAAGCCUAUGGAAUUUUUAGUUUCAAUUAGCAUCAUUUCAGUUAAAGUCACUAUUUUCAGGAAUCUAAUCCCAAUGUUAAACAAGGAUCUACUAUAUAUUAAAUUGAAACUGAAAGUCAUAUUUAUAAUAACUUAUUUAUUAGUCAAAUUCUUGAAUCUAAAAUUUGCUUUAAUAUAUAAUUUAUGCAGGAAACUACAUUUAUCAGUUUAUCUUCUUCC
rnacentral:lncRNA from 1 species